AUUGAACGCUGGCGGCAGGCCUAACACAUGCAAGUCGAGCGAGCGGCGGACGGGUGAGUAAUAUCUGUGGAACUGCCUGAUGGAGGGGGAUAACUACUGUGAACGGUAGCUAAUACCGCACACAAUCAGAUUUGCCCAGAGGGGAUUAGCUAGUAGGUGGGGGAAAGGCUCACCUAGGCGACGAUCCCUAGCUGGUCUGAGAGGAUGACCAGCAACACUGGAACUGAGACACGGUCCAGACUCCUACGGGAGGCAGCAGUGGGGAAUAUUGCACAAGGGGCGCAAGCCUGAUGCAGCCAUGCCGCGUGUGGGAAGAAGGCCUUAGGGUUGUAAAGCACUUUCAGCGGGGAGGCGUUACCCGCAGAAGAAGCACCGGCUAACUCCGUGCCAGUAGCCGCGGUAAUAU
rnacentral:rRNA from 1 species